CAGGCAUGCUGGGGUCCCGCCAGCGGCGCCUGGGAGCGGCUCGAAAUGAGCCAAGCCCCGACACCGGACGGGACA
rnacentral:ncRNA from 1 species